UACGAAGGGUGCAAGCGUUACUCGGAAUUACUGGGCGUAAAGCGUGAGUAGGUGGUUUCUUAAGUCUGCUGUGAAAGCCCCGGGCUCAACCUGGGAAUUGCAGUGGAUACUGGGAAGCUAGAGUGCGGUAGAGGGUAGUGGAAUUCCCGGUGUAGCGGUGAAAUGCGUAGAGAUCGGGAGGAACACCAGUGGCGAAGGCGGUUGCCUGGAGCUUUGCUGACGCUGAGGCGCGAAAGCGUGGGGAGCGAUCCGG
rnacentral:rRNA from 1 species